rnacentral:rRNA from 2 species
UGGGGAAUAUUGGACAAUGGGCGAAAGCCUGAUCCAGCCAUGCCGCGUGUGUGAAGAAGGUCUUCGGAUUGUAAAGCACUUUAAGUUGGGAGGAAGGGCAUUAACCUAAUACGUUAGUGUUUUGACGUUACCGACAGAAUAAGCACCGGCUAACUUCGUGCCAGCAGCCGCGGUAAUACGAAGGGUGCAAGCGUUAAUCGGAAUUACUGGGCGUAAAGCGCGCGUAGGUGGUUCGUUAAGUUGGAUGUGAAAGCCCCGGGCUCAACCUGGGAACUGCAUCCAAAACUGGCGAGCUAGAGUACGGUAGAGGGUGGUGGAAUUUCCUGUGUAGCGGUGAAAUGCGUAGAUAUAGGAAGGAACACCAGUGGCGAAGGCGACCACCUGGACUGAUACUGACACUGAGGUGCGAAAGCGUGGGGAGCAAACA